GCCCGGCUAGCUCAGUCGGUAGAGCAUGAGACUUUAUCUCAGGGUCGUGGGUUCGAGCCCCGCGUUGGGCG
rnacentral:tRNA from 1 species